rnacentral:miRNA from 1 species
AGCCCCGGUUCGGCCGCCA